rnacentral:rRNA from 1 species
CGUAACAGCUCACUAGUCGAGCGAUCGGGCGUGGAUAAUAAUCGGGCAUAAACACAUCACCGAAGCCGUGGAUUAGAUAGUAAUAUCUACUGGUAGGGGAGCAUUCCAUUUGCGCCGAAGCAGUGUCGUGAGGCAUUGUGGAGCGGAUGGAAAAGCAAAUGUAGGCAUAAGUAACGACAAUGCGGGUGGGAAACCCGCACGCCGUAAAGCUAAGGUUUCCUGAUCAACGUUAAUCGGAUCAGGGUUAGCCGGGGCCUAAGAAAAAGCCGCAAGGCGUAUUCGAUGGAUAGCAGGUUAAUAUUCCUGCGCUCACCAUGCGAUAAAAGUGACGGAGUCCCCAUAUUGCUACGUACUGACGGAAUAGUACGUUGAGCCUAGCCCUCGGGUGAAGCGAAGCAGGGCAAGGGCUUCCAAGAAAAGCGAGCAUGGUACCCGUACCGUAAACCGACACAGGUAGCUGAGGAGAGUAUCCUAAGGCGCUCGAGUGAUUCAUGGCUAAGGAACUAGGCAAAAUAACCCCGUAACUUAGGGAGAAGGGGAUCCCGCGCAAGCGGGACGCAGAGAAAUGGCCCAUGCGACUGUUUAUCAAAAACACAGGGCUAUGCAAAAUCGAAAGAUGACGUAUAUGGCCUGACACCUGCCCGGUGCUGGAAGGUUAAGAGGAGGGGUCACGCAAGGAAGCCCUGAAUUGAAGCCCCAGUAAACGGCGGCCGUAACUAUAACGGUCCUAAGGUAGCGAAAUUCCUUGUCGGGUAAGUUCCGACCUGCACGAAUGGUGUAACGAUGUGGGCACUGUCUCAGCCACGCGCUCGGUGAAAUUGUAGUUCCGGUGAAGAUGCCGGAUACCCGCGACGGGACGAAAAGACCCCGUGCACCUUUACUAUAACUUCAUAUUGAUUCUGGUUAAGUGAUGUGUAGGAUAGGACGGAGACUAUGAGGCAUGUUCGCUAGGGCAUGUGGAGUCAUCCUUGAAAUACGUCCCUUUACUUAAUUGGAACCUAAUCCCUUCGGGGAGACAGUGUGUGGUGGGUAGUUUGACUGGGGUGGUCGCCUCCAAAAUCGUAACGGAGGCUUUCAAAGGUACCCUCAGCACGCUUGGUAACCGUGCGUAGAGUGUAAUGGCAUAAGGGUGCUUGACUGUGAGACCUACAAGUCGAUCAGGUGCGAAAGCAGGACAUAGUGAUCCGGUGGUUCCGUAUGGAAGGGCCAUCGCUCAUAGGAUAAAAGGUACUCCGGGGAUAACAGGCUAGUCUCCCCCAAGAGCUCAUAUCGACGGGGAGGUUCGGCACCUCGAUGUCGGCUCGUCACAUCCUGGGGCUGGAGAAGGUCCCAAGGGUU